UACGUGGGGGGCAAGCGUUAUCCGGAUUUAUUGGGUGUAAAGGGAGCGUAGACGGAAAAGCAUGUCUGAAGUGAAAUCCCCGGGCUCAACCCGGGAACUGCUUUGGAAACUGUUUUUCUUGAGUGUCGGAGAGGUAAGCGGAAUUCCUGGUGUAGUAGCGAAAUGCGUAGAUAUCAGGAAGAACACCGGAGGCGAAGGCGGCUUACUGGACGAUAACUGACGUUGAGGCUCGAAAGCGUGGGGAGCAAAC
rnacentral:rRNA from 1 species